rnacentral:rRNA from 1 species
AGAGUUUGAUCCUGGCUCAGGAUGAACGCUGGCGGCGUGCCUAAUACAUGCAAGUCGAGCGAACGGACGAGAAGCUUGCUUCUCUGAUGUUAGCGGCGGACGGGUGAGUAACACGUGGAUAACCUACCUAUAAGACUGGGAUAACUUCGGGAAACCGGAGCUAAUACCGGAUAAUAUUUUGAACCGCAUGGUUCAAAAGUGAAAGACGGUCUUGCUGUCACUUAUAGAUGGAUCCGCGCUGCAUUAGCUAGUUGGUAAGGUGACGGCUUACCAAGGCAACGAUGCAUAGCCGACCUGAGAGGGUGAUCGGCCACACUGGAACUGAGACACGGUCCAGACUCCUACGGGAGGCAGCAGUAGGGAAUCUUCCGCAAUGGGCGAAAGCCUGACGGAGCAACGCCGCGUGAGUGAUGAAGGUCUUCGGAUCGUAAAACUCUGUUAUUAGGGAAGAACAUAUGUGUAAGUAACUGUGCACAUCUUGACGGUACCUAAUCAGAAAGCCACGGCUAACUACGUGCCAGCAGCCGCGGUAAUACGUAGGUGGCAAGCGUUAUCCGGAAUUAUUGGGCGUAAAGCGCGCGUAGGCGGUUUUUUAAGUCUGAUGUGAAAGCCCACGGCUCAACCGUGGAGGGUCAUUGGAAACUGGAAAACUUGAGUGCAGAAGAGGAAAGUGGAAUUCCAUGUGUAGCGGUGAAAUGCGCAGAGAUAUGGAGGAACACCAGUGGCGAAGGCGACUUUCUGGUCUGUAACUGACGCUGAUGUGCGAAAGCGUGGGGAUCAAACAGGAUUAGAUACCCUGGUAGUCCACGCCGUAAACGAUGAGUGCUAAGUGUUAGGGGGUUUCCGCCCCUUAGUGCUGCAGCUAACGCAUUAAGCACUCCGCCUGGGGAGUACGACCGCAAGGUUGAAACUCAAAGGAAUUGACGGGGACCCGCACAAGCGGUGGAGCAUGUGGUUUAAUUCGAAGCAACGCGAAGAACCUUACCAAAUCUUGACAUCCUUUGACAACUCUAGAGAUAGAGCCUUCCNNNNNNCUUCGGGGGACAAAGUGACAGGUGGUGCAUGGUUGUCGUCAGCUCGUGUCGUGAGAUGUUGGGUUAAGUCCCGCAACGAGCGCAACCCUUAAGCUUAGUUGCCAUCAUUAAGUUGGGCACUCUAAGUUGACUGCCGGUGACAAACCGGAGGAAGGUGGGGAUGACGUCAAAUCAUCAUGCCCCUUAUGAUUUGGGCUACACACGUGCUACAAUGGACAAUACAAAGGGCAGCGAAACCGCGAGGUCAAGCAAAUCCCAUAAAGUUGUUCUCAGUUCGGAUUGUAGUCUGCAACUCGACUACAUGAAGCUGGAAUCGCUAGUAAUCGUAGAUCAGCAUGCUACGGUGAAUACGUUCCCGGGUCUUGUACACACCGCCCGUCACACCACGAGAGUUUGUAACACCCGAAGCCGGUGGAGUAACCUUUUAGGAGCUAGCCGUCGAAGGUGGGACAAAUGAUUGGGGUGAAGUCGUAACAAGGUAGCCGUAUCGGAAGGUGCGGCUGGAUCACCU